rnacentral:misc_RNA from 1 species
AAGUCGUAACAAGGUGUCAUUCUAAGUUGAAAUGCAUGAUCUUAUUAUCUUUCCGCUUGUAUACUUAUAGAAGCCUUUAGCAGCCUGAAAUGGUGGCCCUCGACGACGCAAAAUAAUUGAGGGAAUCCUUAAAUGCAAGUUGUCGCAUGACAAUGUUACUAUCAAACUGCGGGAAUCUCCUAACGACCUUGACACCAAGCACGAUUGGAAACAAUCUUGUGGCCGAGCUAGCAGCCCUGGGUAUGGUAAUAGUUCAAGCGUAUGAGCCCUGAUACUGGGUAAAAUGGACAAUCCGCAGCAAUGGUCCUACCGCAAAUAAUUGCUAUGGACGUUGUUCACAGGCCAGAUGUUAGUAGGUGGUACUCCAUGUUCCGCCAAGAUAUGGUCGAUCCUCCAAGUAAACCUUGAGGUCAUACAACAAGACAAAUGUUCGCAUUUUCUUGAUUUAAAUCAUGUUCCGUAGGUGAACCUGCGGAAGGAUCAUUAAAGAGAAAGGGUUUCGGCUCCUGGGCUUCGGCCUCGACUCUAUACCCUAUGUCUACAUUUACCUCUGUUGCUUUGGCGAACCUUGAAUUAAGUUCACGCCGACAUCUUGUCGACGAGCAACUGUCGGCGAGCGUUCGCCGAAGGCCUUUUAAUUCUUUUUUUCUAUGCGUCUGAGUACAAAUUUAAAUAAAUUAAAA